GGUUAUACAAAAUAUAUAAAUAAAUUUUAUUAGUAAAUAGUUAAUAUAAUUUAUUUUAAAUAAAAGUAUAUUAUUUAAGUUAAAUUUUUAAAUUAUUUUUAUUUAUUUAUUUAAAUUUAUGAGGCUAUAAAAUUUUAAAAAUAAACUAGGAUUAGAUACCCUAUUAUUUAAAAUGUAUUUUAUUUUAUUAAGGUAGUAAAAGUUAUUUUCUUGAAACUUAAAAAAUUUGGCGGUGUUUUAAUCUAUUUAGAGGAACCUGUUUCAUAAUCGAUAGUCCACGAUAAAUUUUACUAAAUUUUGUUAAAUUUAUAUAUCGUCGUUAUAAGAAUGUCUUAAAAGAGUUUAAUUUUCUUAAUAUAAUAUUAUAUUAUAUUUCAGAUCAAGGUGUAGUUUAUAAUUUAGAGAUAAUGGGUUACAAUAAAUUAAUUUAAAUGGAAUUAAAAUUGAAAUAUUUUAAUGAAGGUGGAUUUAAUAGUAAUAUAAAUUAUAUAAUUUAUAUGAUUAUAGCAAUAAAACAUGUACAUAUCGCCCGUCGCUCUUUUUUUAAAAAAAGAUAAGUCGUAACAAAGUAGAUGUACUGGAAAGUGUAUCUAGAAUGAU
rnacentral:rRNA from 1 species